AUGUUGCAGGUUGAAGAUAGCGAACUUGCUGAUGUUGCUGCAGUAAGCGCUGGAAAUAACUACGAAAUUGGCAACAUGAUAGCUGAUGCUAUGAGCAAGGUUGGGCGACAGGGGGUGGUUACACUUGAAGAAGGGAAGAGUGCCGAAAACAACCUCUAUGUGGUUGAAGGGAUGCAAUUCGACCGCGGCUAUAUUUCUCCCUACUUUGUAACCGACAGUGAAAAAAUGUCAGUGGAGUAUGAGAAUUGCAAGCUGCUUCUUGUGGACAAGAAAAUUAACAACGCCAGAGAUCUCAUCACUCUUCUGGAGGACGCUAUUAAGGGUGGAUAUCCAAUUUUAAUAAUCGCAGAGGAUAUUGAGCAGGAAGCUCUUGCAACUCUUGUGGUCAAUAGGCUUAGAGGUGCACUGAAGAUUGCUGCUAUUAAAGCCCCUGGUUUUGGAGAGCGCAAGAGUCAAUACCUGGAUGAUAUCGCUACUCUGACAGGAGGCACUGUCAUCAGAGAAGAAAUCGGACUGUCCCUGGACAAAGCAGACAAAGAAGUUCUUGGAAAUGCCGCCAAGGUUGUAAUUACUAAGGAUUCGACAACAAUUGUUGGAGAUGGUACUACACAGGAGGAAGUAACCAAAAGGGUUACACAAAUCAAGAACCAAAUUGAGGCUUCUGAACAGGAAUACGAAAAAGAAAAGCUAAACGAGAGGAUAGCUAAACUAUCCGGUGGCGUUGCUGUCAUUCAGGUAGGAGCACAGACUGAAACUGAGCUUAAGGAAAAGAAACUGAGGGUUGAAGACGCACUGAAUGCAACAAAGGCCGCUGUGGAGGAAGGUAUUGUUGUCGGUGGUGGUUGUACCCUUCUAAGGCUUGCAUCAAAAGUUGAUGCCAUUAAAGAAACCCUUGAGAAUGAUGAACAGAAGGUCGGUGCUGAAAUUGUGAGGAAAUCCUUGAGCUAUCCUCUUAAACUGAUUGCGAAAAAUGCUGGUGUCAAUGGCAGUGUGGUCACUGAGAAGGUCCUUGUGAACGACAACUUCAGGUACGGCUACAAUGCCGCUACAGGGAAUUAUGAGGAUUUGAUGGCUGCUGGUAUUAUUGAUCCCACCAAGGUUGUGAGGUGCUGCCUGGAGCAUGCCGCAUCGGUGGCGAAAACAUUCAUCACCUCGGACGCCGUCGUGGUCGACAUCAAGGAAUCUGAGAAGGCGCCUGCCGCAAACCCAAUGGCCGGUUCAGGUUAUGGGUUCUAA
rnacentral:rRNA from 1 species